rnacentral:rRNA from 1 species
GCGGCAAAAGCUCAAAUUUGAAAUCUGGCACCUUCGGUGUCCGAGUUGUAAUUUGAAGAUUGUAACCUUGGGGUUGGCUCUUGUCUAUGUUUCUUGGAACAGGACGUCACAGAGGGUGAGAAUCCCGUGCGAUGAGAUGCCCAAUCCUAUGUAAGGUGCUUUCGAAGAGUCGAGUUGUUUGGGAAUGCAGCUCUAAGUGGGUGGUAAAUUCCAUCUAAAGCUAAAUAUUGGCGAGAGACCGAUAGCGAACAAGUACAGUGAUGGAAAGAUGAAAAGAACUUUGAAAAGAGAGUGAAAAAGUACGUGAAAUUGUUGAAAGGGAAGGGUUUGAGAUCAGACUCGAUAUUUUGUGAGCCUUGCCUUCGUGGCGGGGUGACCCGCAGCUUAUCGGGCCAGCAUCGGUUUGGGCGGUAGGAUAAUGGCGUAGGAAUGUGACUUUGCUUCGGUGAAGUGUUAUAGCCUGCGUUGAUGCUGCCUGCCUAGACCGAGGACUGCGAUUUUAUCAAGGAUGCUGGCAUAAUGAUCCCAAACCGCCCGUCUUGAAACACGG